rnacentral:piRNA from 1 species
UAAAAAGAUGAUUUACAAAUGGCCA